UGGGGAAUCUUCCGCAAUGGACGAAAGUCUGACGGAGCAACGCCGCGUGAGUGAAGAAGGUUUUCGGAUCGUAAAGCUCUGUCUUUGAGGACGAAUGUGCUUAAUGUGAAUAAUGUUAAGUAAUGACGGUACUCGAGGAGGAAGCCACGGCUAACUACGUGCCAGCAGCCGCGGUAAUACGUAGGUGGCAAGCGUUGUCCGGAAUUAUUGGGCGUAAAGCGCGCGCAGGCGGGAUAUUAAGUCUGUUUUAAAAGUUCGGGGCUCAACCCCGUGAUGGAAUGGAAACUAAUAUUCUUGAGUGCAGGAGAGGAAAGUGGAAUUCCCAGUGUAGCGGUGAAAUGCGUAGAUAUUGGGAGGAACACCAGUGGCGAAGGCGACUUUCUGGACUGUGUCUGACGCUGAGGCGCGAAAGCCAGGGGAGUGAACGGG
rnacentral:rRNA from 1 species